GCCGUUAUAGCUCAGGUAGUAGAGCAUGUUCUUGGUAAGAACAAGGUCAUUGGUGCAAAUCCAAUUAACGGCU
rnacentral:tRNA from 1 species